rnacentral:rRNA from 1 species
UAACAAGGAUUCCCCUAGUAACGGCGAGUGAAGCGGGAAGAGCUCAAAUUUAAAAUCUGUAAGGUUCAACCUUGCCGAGUUGUAGUUUGAAGAAGUGUUUUCCGCGGCGGCUGCAGUACAAAUCCUUUGGAACAGGGUAUCAGAGAGGGUGAGAAUCCCGUCUUUGACUGCAGACUAGUUGCACUGUGAUACACUUUCUAAGAGUCGAGUUGUUUGGGAAUGCAGCUCAAAAUGGGUGGUAAAUUUCAUCUAAAGCUAAAUAUUGGCAAGAGACCGAUAGCGAACAAGUACCGUGAGGGAAAGAUGAAAAGAACUUUGAAAAGAGAGUUAAAUAGUACGUGAAAUUGUUAAAAGGGAAACGCUUGAAGUCAGUGUUGCCGGCGGAAAAUCAGCUUCAGACUGGAGACUUGCGUGGGUGGAGGGAGUGUUAAAACCCCUUGCCUACGUACAGGAACCUGGAUGGAGUGCACUUUUCAGUCGGCAGGUCAACAUCAAUUUCAGCCGGUGGAAAAAAGCUAGCGGAACGUAGGUUGGAGCAAUCUAACUGUUAUAGCCGCCAGCCAAUACACUGGGUGGGAUUGAGGACAGCAGUGCAGGCCAUUAUGGCGGAAGCUCAGUGUCAUUCUCCGGGGGGCAUGUCAAGACAGCUUGCUGACUUGGUGUGUACACUCUUGGGAACGAUGCGGAUGUACUUCUCCUGCACUAAGGAUGUUGACGAAAUGGCUU